GACGAAGGGGGCUAGCGUUGUUCGGAAUUACUGGGCGUAAAGCGCGUGUAGGCGGUUGUUCAAGUCGGGGGUGAAAGCCUUGAGCUCAACUCAAGAAAUGCACUCGGUACUGGAUGACUAGAGGACCGGAGAGGAUAGUGGAAUUCCCAGUGUAGUGGUGAAAUACGUAGAGAUUGGGAAGAACACCAGUGGCGAAGGCGGCUAUCUGGACGGUUUCUGACGCUAAGACGCGAAAGCGUGGGGAGCAAACGGG
rnacentral:rRNA from 1 species